AGAGGGAUUAUAUUAUUCUGUGUAUUUCCCACUGAAUGUUUUUGGUAAGGUCAAGUGAAACACUUAGAAUUUUUAAAAUAUAUGUAUUUGAAAUUUUUCAUUGCAUAUGCAUGAGGUAUUUUGAAGGAAAUCAAAACAUGUAUGAAAGGAAUAUGCUUUUUAAAAAAGUAUUUGAAAAUAAAUGACCUUGAGGAUUUCUUUUGCUGUAUUUUUGUUAGUAACACAUGAAUAUCAAUAAUUCCUAUUUAGAAGUGGAAUGUGAUGAUAUUAACAUUUUGCAUACAUGGGAUUGGGUUUCUUUUUCUCUUUAUCCCUUUAACUGAAGUAAAAACAAAUAUAAAUUUUUCCCUGGUUUAUUUUUUUGUGAAAGUACUCUCCAGGCCUCCAAAACCCUUGAUUUACUACUUAUUGAGUCUUUUAAGGGAAAUAUACAAUUUAAAGGGGCUAACCUUUCAUUCCUUCUCCUACAGUUUGGAAUAGAAACAGAGCCAAUUCCAGAAGAUAUUGAAGAUUCUAAAGCCUACAGUAUUGAGAAUGCCAGAAGAAAAAGAGAACAUGACAAGUUAAUGAAAGAAGUAGAAGAAAUCAAGGCUGGAAAGAGAGAACAGAUCAAAGCUUUAAGAAAUCAAUUACAGAAACUACUACAGAUGAAUGAAGAAUUACCCAAACAUAUGCAGUUUAAACGGACAGAUUUUGAUCUAGAUUCCAAAAUUCGUGCUGAGAUUGGAAAGAAAACAGCUAAUAAAAUUCAACGAGUGGAAAAGGAAUUGGCUUGGGAAAAGGAGAAACACCAGCUUGGCCUAAAGAAGCUACAGAAUAGGUAAGAUCCAUGUUUCCUGCAAAUCAAGAUGUUUAUGAACAGAUAUUUGAAUAAAGUAGUUUCCAGUGGUUUUAUGGAAGUGGUCAGAUAGUCGGUCUCCUACAGUACCUACUAAUUCCUAAAACUCAAGUAAUCCUCUCGUCACUGUUGCUGUCUCCCUGAGCUCAUUCCUUUCUCAUUUACUGCAAAUUUUUUUUUUAAUUAGUUGGAGGCUAAUUACUUUACAUCAUUACAGUAGUUUUUGUUAUACA